AAUAAGUGUAGUUUUGCAAUAUUUGAUCGUCCGUUUUAUUUGAAAACUUUUUAUGAUUAGUAUUUUUAUUGUUAUUAGAUGAUAAAACAUGAAUAAUACUCUAAUUUUUUUAAUUUUUUAUAAUUUUUUUAAAUAAGACGGAUGGUUAAACAUUGAACACCGAUAUCCACGACUGCGUUUAUU
rnacentral:pre_miRNA from 1 species